CUCGGUGUAGCGCAGUUGGUAGCGCGGGUGCUUUGGGAGCAUCAGGUCGGCGGUUCGAACCCGUCCUCCGAGACAA
rnacentral:tRNA from 1 species